rnacentral:rRNA from 1 species
AACAAACGCUGGCGGCGUGCCUAAUACAUGCAAGUCGAACGGGGAAAGCUUUCGGGUGAGUACUAGUGGCGCACGGGUGAGUAACGCGUGGAUAAUCUGCCUUAGAGUGGGGGAUAACUAGUCGAAAGAUUAGCUAAUACCGCAUAAGACCACAAGAACUGCGGUUCAAGAGGUCAAAGGUUUUUCGCUCUAAGAUGAGUCCGCGUAAGAUUAGCUAGUUGGUGAGGUAACGGCUCACCAAGGCAACGAUCUUUAACUGGUCUGAGAGGAUGAUCAGUCACACUGGAACUGAGACACGAUCCAGAAUCCUACGGGAGGCAGCAGUAGGGAAUAUUGCACAAUGGAGGAAACUCUGAUGCAGCGACGCCGCGUGAGUGAUGAAGGCCUUCGGGUCGUAAAGCUCUGUCGCAGGGGAAUAACACAAUGAAUGUACCCUGUAAGAAAGGAUCGGCUAACUUCGUGCCAGCCGCCGCGGUAACAC